UUUUAGUGCUUGCACUAAAUGAAACUAGAUACAAGCGAGCGGCGGACGGGUGAGUAACACGUGGGUAACCUGCCCAAGAGACUGGGAUAACACCUGGAAACAGAUGCUAAUACCGGAUAACAACACUAGACGCAUGUCUAGAGUUUGAAAGAUGGUUCUGCUAUCACUCUUGGAUGGACCUGCGGUGCAUUAGCUAGUUGGUAAGGUAACGGCUUACCAAGGCAAUGAUGCAUAGCCGAGUUGAGAGACUGAUCGGCCACAUUGGGACUGAGACACGGCCCAAACUCCUACGGGAGGCAGCAGUAGGGAAUCUUCCACAAUGGACGAAAGUCUGAUGGAGCAACGCCGCGUGAGUGAAGAAGGGUUUCGGCUCGUAAAGCUCUGUUGGUAGUGAAGAAAGAUAGAGGUAGUAACUGGCCUUUAUUUGACGGUAAUUACUUAGAAAGUCACGGCUAACUACGUGCCAGCAGCCGCGGUAAUACGUAGGUGGCAAGCGUUGUCCGGAUUUAUUGGGCGUAAAGCGAGUGCAGGCGGUUCAAUAAGUCUGAUGUGAAAGC
rnacentral:rRNA from 1 species